AAAAAUUUAGAAGUGACAGUAAAACUCACUUAUUAACUCGAGCUGUUGUUUUUUAAUAACAUUUUGAAAAAAAUACUAAUUUAAUUCAAGAUUGGUUUAUAUUUGAACAAGCCGAGCAGUAAAAAAAAUGCAGAAAACGUUUGUAAAACAACUUGCUUCUAAAUGUUAAAUGCUCUUUGCACACGUAUGUUAGAACGCUUGAUUCAUCCUAAAGUUUUCUUUAUCAUUUUAAGUCAUAUUUACAUGUCAAAUUUGUGGUUACGCUUGGAAAAAUAUACAAGAGUAGAAUUUAACUUACU